UGCCUGUGGUCCCAGCUACUCAGGAAGCUGAGGCAGGAAGAAGUAGUUCAGGGGCAGAAUGGGCAACAUAGGGAGACACUGCCUAAAAAAGAAGAAAUAAAAAGAAGUAAUAGAAUAAUUACAAUAGAAUUAAAAGAAGAAAAAAGAAGUAAUAGAUCUGAGUCUAUUGUCUUGGAAAGCUCAUCAAGAGGCCGGAAGAACUCAGCCCCAUGAUCUCUUGGACAGGACGAGGAGAGUCUGUCGCCCCUGUGUAGGUGGGGC
rnacentral:lncRNA from 1 species